AUGAUGAAGGAUCCCGAGGAAUUUCAGAGAGACGGAGUCGAAAGAAAUUACGUUGCCAUUAGACUUGAGUUCAACCACAUGCCACUUGCCAAACGAUGCUUCAGAGCAGUGGGAAUUGGAAGGCUAUCUGUAGUUGAGGUUCUUGGUAGAAAAGGUUCAAUGUUGGUUAGCAGGCGUGUCACGACAAAUGGGCAGGUUGGUCUAGCUGGGCUGUUUCAGUUUGGUGAUUAUGUAUGGACAAGGUUUGGAGUCUUAGGCAUAACAUGA
rnacentral:lncRNA from 1 species